UGGCAUGGCACCGUCUUCCAGGGGAGGAUCGUACUUGUUACUCCAUGGUGAUCUGCCAAGGAGACGAGGAAAACAGAGACAGUUAGACAACAGAGAAACGAUGAAAGGUCAGAAAUUCGUGGGUCAGACCUGAUCCACAGGAAGGUGACAC